rnacentral:rRNA from 1 species
AACUAUAACGGUCCUAAGGUAGCGAAAUUCCUUGUCAGGUAAGUUCUGACCCGCACGAAUGGCGUAACGAUUUGGGCGCUGUCUCAACAGCCCACCCGGCGAAAUUGUAGUACUGGUGAAGAUGCCAGUUACCCGCAACUAGACGGAAAGACCCCAUGGAGCUUUACUGUAGCUUAAUACUGAGGAUUGGUAAAUCAUGUACAGGAUAGGUGGGAGACAUGGAAGCUUGGGCGUCAGCUCAGGUGGAGUCACCCUUGGGAUACCACCCUUGAUUUACUGGUUUUCUAACCUGCGGCCGUGAAUCCGGCCGGGGGACACUGUUAGGUGGGCAGUUUGACUGGGGCGGUCGCCUCCUAAAAGGUAACGGAGGCGCUCAAAGGUUCGUUCAGCACGGACGGAAAUCGUGCAGUGAGUGUAAACGCAUAAACGAGCCUAACUGCGAGACCGACGGGUCGAGCAGUAACGAAAGUUGGAGUUAGUGAUCCGGCGGUAUGUGAGUGGAAAUGCCGUCGCUCAACGGAUAAAAGCUACCCUGGGGAUAACAGGCUGAUCUCCCCCAAGAGUCCACAUCGACGGGGAGGUUUGGCACCUCGAUGUCGGCUCAUCGCAUCCUGGGGCUGUAUUCGGUCCCAAGGGUUUGGCUGUUCGCCAAUUAAAGCGGUACGCGAGCUGGGUUCAGAACGUCGUGAGACAGUUCGGUCCCUAUCUGUCGUGGGCGCAGGAUAUUUGAGGAGAGCUGUCCUUAGUACGAGAGGACCGGGAUGGACGCACCUCUGGCGCACCAGUUGUCACGCCAGUGGCACAGCUGGGCAACUAUGUGCGGAACGGAUAAACGCUGAAAGCAUCUAAGCGUGAAGCCGACUCCAAGAUUAGAUAUCCCAUAGCGUAAGCUAGUAAGACCCCUUGUAGACUACAAGGUUGAUAGGCUGCAUGUGUAAGCACGGUAACGUGUUCAGCUUGGCAGUACUAAUAGGUCGAGGGCUUGACCAU